rnacentral:sRNA from 1 species
UUAAGACCGAAGACAGUAGGUGUCGUAUGACAUAAAGUUUUCUACCUACCGAGGAUUUAAGGACAUUAUUAAUGAUUAUGUACCUCUCUGUUUUUGGGCAACCGGACAGAGAGGUUUUUUGAUGU